CCUGGACAACAAAGCAAGACACUGUUGCAAAAAAAAAAAAAAGAAAAGAAAAAGAAAAAAGAAUUAUCAACUCUUACUGUCCCUGAACAUUGAAGAUCAAGAGAUCAAUGACAUUCUAAAUGUUGGAAUUUACAGUCUUCCAGUCUCCUGGACCACAAUGUACAGUUAAUAGAUCUUUCCAAGCUUUAUGGUACUGAAUCCCUAAUUAGCAUUCCACUGAAGAGCUCUUAAGGAACUGAAAAGGAACUGCUGCGUACCACUCCUGCUGAUGGCAUAAAUGCUUCUGUCUCUUGGACUAGAAACCUCUCAGACCAAUGUCAAGUGAACAGCAUCAAAAGUAAAUGCUAAGCAAGAUUUACUUGCUUACAGAGUAAAAAGAAAAAGAGUAUCAGAGAAAGCCUAUUACAGUAGUAAAACAUAGACACUACGAGAAAACACAAUGAAAAUUCUAUUAAAGUUUUUUUUAAAACUUCCUAUUAUAUUUACCAAUGUUACCAUCUUUGAACUAUCUUGACAUUAUGAACUUGGUUUUUGUUCUUUACUUAACAGGAAAAAGUCCCAAUAUUAGAUAUAUAAAACAGCAACAUAAAGCCAGAUAUUGUUCAAAAUUGUUAGAAAUUCUUUCUGUAAAUAUCUUAGUUUAAUACAUGUGUUGAAUAAUAAAUGUGUAAAGCACUGAACAAGGAACAAAAACGUGCUUUAACACAUUUUGUUAACGUUUUGUUAACAUCUUUGUUAACAUUUAACAAUGAUGAGGAAAAAAAAUCCCAAACUUGAAGGAAUUUGUAAUGUAAGUGAGAUGGAGAUAUUAAUAACUUAAUGAGAAGGUAGAGUUCGGUUAACACAGAAAGGACGAAGAUAUUACAGGGGUUUGAGGUGAGAUGCUUGGUUUGGGGUAAUUUCAAGGAAAUCUGCAAAGAGGGGAAAAAAAUCCCCCCUACUCAUUUGGAUUUGGUAGCAGGCAAAGAUGAACAAACAAAGUAGGAAGAAGAGUAAGAAAUACUUCUUCCAUUUUAUAAACAUUUAUAUAGUCCAUGUUAGCUAUAGCACGGUUACAGGUGUGAAGUCUGGGAAAAGAAGGCUAAAAUGUUGACAGAGCCCUACUGUGGAGCCAUCUUCGGAGAUCUAACAGUUUUUGAGUUGGAAGUACCAGCUGGUGUAUCAAAGCAA
rnacentral:lncRNA from 1 species